GCAUCGGGGUUGGGGUCAUCAUUAGGGACAGGGUGGCUGUGGGGUUGGGGACAUCAUGGGGACAUUGGGGACAGGACGACUGUGGGGUUGGGGUCAUCAUGGGGACAGGGUGGCAAUGGGGUCAGGACAUUGUUGGGGACAGGUUGGCUGCGGGGUUGGGGACAUCAUGGGGACACUGGGGACAGGAUGGCUGUGGGGUCAGGGACAUUGUUGGGGACAGGAUGGCUGUGGGGUCGGGGUCAUCAUGGGGACAGGGUGGCCAUGGGGUUAGGGAUAUCCUUGGGGACAGGGUGGCCAUGGAGUUGGGGUCAUCAUUAGGAACAGGACAGCUUUGGGGUCAGGAACGUUGUUGGGGACAGGGUGGCUGUGAGGUUGGGGUCAUCAAGGGGACAUUAGGGACAGGGUGGCUGUGGGGUUGGGGACAUUGGGGACAGGGUGGCCAUGGGGUCAGGGGCAUCCUUAGGAACAGGAUGACUGUGGGGUCAGGGACAUCCUUGGGGACAGGAUGGCCAUGGGGCUGGGGUCAUCAUUAGGGACAGGGUGGCUGCAGGGUUGGGGUCAUCAAGGGGACAUUGGGGAUAGGAUGGCCAUGGGGUCAGGGUCAUCAUUAGGGACAAGACAACAGUGGGGUCGGGGACAUUGGGGACAGGGUGGCCAUGGGGCUGGGGACAUUGGAGACAGGGUGACUGUGGGGUUGGGGAUAUUGGGGACAGGAUGGCCAUGGGGUCAGGGUCAUCAUUAGGGACAGGGUGGCUGCAGGGUUGGGGACACCAUGGGGGCAUUAGGAACAGGACUGUGGUGUCAGGGUCAUCAUGGGGACAGGGUGGCCAUGGGGUUGGGGUCAUCCUUAGGAACAGGACGGCUUUGGGGUCAGGGACAUUGUUGGGGACAGGGUGGCCAUGGGGUCAGGGAUAUUGGGGACAGGGUGGCUGUGGGGUCAGGGUCUUCAUUAGGGACAAGGUGACUAUGGGGUUGGGGUCAUCAUGGGGACAGGGUCGCCAUGGGGUUGGGGACAUUGGGAACAGGAUGGAUGUGGGGUCGGGGAGAUCUUUGGGGACAGGAUGGCCAUGGGGUCAGGGUCAUCAUGGGGACAGGGUGGCCAUGGGGUUGGGGUCAUCCUUAGGAACAGGACGGCUUUGGGGUCAGGGACAUUGUUGGGGACAGGGUGGCCAUGAGGUCAGGAUCAUCAUGGGGACAGGGUGGCCAUGGGGUUGGGGUCAUCCUUAGGAACAGGAUGACUGUGGGGUCAGGGACAUUGGGGACAGGGUGGCUGUGGGGUCAGGGUCAUCAAGGGGACAGGGUGGCCAUGGGGCUGGGGACAUUGGGGACAGGGUGGCCGUGGGGUUGGGGACAUCAUUAGGGACAGGGUGGCCAUGGGGUCAGGGACAUCCCUGGGGACAGUGGGGCCAUGGGGCUGGGGACAUUGGAGACAGGAUGGAAAUGGGGCUGGGGACAUCCUUGGGGACAGGAUGGCCGUGGGGUUGGGGUCAUCAUUAGGAUGGCUUUGGGGUCAGGGACAUUGUUGGGGACAAGGUGGCUGUGGGGUCAGGGACAUCAUGGGGACAGGAUGGCCAUGGGGUCAGGGACAUCCUUGGGGACAGGGUGGCCGUGGGGUUGGGGUCAUCAGUAGGAACAGGACAGCUUUGGGGUCAGGGACAUCCUUGGGGACAGGGUGGCUGUGGGGUCAGGGUCAUCACUAGGUACAGGACGACUGUGGGGUCAGGGACAUUGGGGACAGGAUGGCUGUGGGGUCGGGGUCAUCGUGGGGACAGGGUGGCCAUGGGGUCAGGGAUAUUGGGGACAGGGUGGCUGUGGGGUCAGGGUCUUCAUUAGGGACAAGGUGACUAUGGGGUUGGGGUCAUCAUGGGGACAGGGUCGCCAUGGGGUUGGGGACAUUGGGAACAGGAUGGAUGUGGGGUCGGGGAGAUCUUUGGGGACAGGAUGGCCAUGGGGUCAGGGACAUCCUUGGGGACAGGGUGGCCAUGGGGUUGGGGUCAUCAUUAGGGACAGGACAGCUUUGGGGUCAGGGACAUUGUUGGGGACAGGAUGGCCAUGGGGUUGGGGUCAUCAUUAGGAACAGGACGGCUUUGGGGUCAGGGACAUUACUGGGGACAGGACGGCUUUGGGGUCGGGCACCCCACGAGGACAUCACCGUCCCCAUCCCCUCAUCCCCCCACAGAGCUCCCGUCCCCCCCGUCCCCCCCGCUGUCCCCAUCCUCC
rnacentral:lncRNA from 1 species